UUAAAAUCGUUUCAAACUAAAUUUUCUGCCCCUAAACCCGGAUCUGUUUGUUAACAUUUAGAGUGAACCACAGCCCACCAGACCAUGUAGGGGUGGGGGUGGUAGGGAGCGCGUUUGCAGCUUGUUUUCUAGCGUCCCCCAGAAGAGAAUUAUAUAUAUAGAUAACAGAAGCUAACUAAAAUAAAACACAAAGUUCAAUUCAUUUACAUUUACUAGAUGUUUACAAUAUAUGUAGGCCCUACUGUUACACAAUUCUCAUUCUUAACUUUACACAUUUACACUAUUCACAAACAGCUCAGUCAGACAUACAGCAACAUGACAGAAUAUCAGGUUGACAGGUAAAACAACCUGCACUAGACAAGUACAAUGACAUCAGGCUGGCAGCCACAGUGCCAUCUGGCCAACAGCAUAAAAAUUAUCAAUUUGAAGAAAAGAAAGACUUAAGCUGCAGUUGUUUCAUUUUGGACCCCCCCCCCCCAUCCGGACACUGGUAAAAGUAUGUUUUCUAUAUAAUGAUGCCUGAAAGAAACCCUGACCCAGACAUGACAGAAAAAGCACGAGGAAUCAAGUCAAAUAAAAGCUUGUAAACAUGUCCUUACCUCUGUUUAUAAAUGAUGAUUUCAGUUUUUGUUAAUUAAAAAAAUCGAAUAAAAAUAUUUAUUUUAUUUCA